UAAAGAAAUUAGCACACAAAAAAGUAUUCAACGAUUAAAAAAUUAUCAAAUCUCUGUGUUAUAUAAGUUUUGAUACUAUAUUCGAAUAAAGUGUAAUUUACCU
rnacentral:sRNA from 1 species